UUCCAUGAUCUUGGUCUUGGGCCUCCCUUCUAGAGUUAGACAAGGCUGGUGUCACACCUUAGACGGAGCUCGUGUGACAGUUCCUAGAAGCAGAGCUUCUGAUUUGUCCCCUGUUCCCUUUCAUGCUCCAGGUGACUACAACACACACAAUGGACCCUCCACGCCAGCCAAAGAGGGGGACACAGACAGGCCACAUCGGGCCCCCGACGGGAAGCUCCGGGGCAGGUCAAAGAGGAGCAGCGACCCGUCCCCAGCAGGCGACAAUGAGAUCGAGCGUGUGUUCGUGUGGGACUUGGAUGAGACAAUAAUUAUUUUUCACUCCUUACUCACGGGGACUUUUGCAUCCAGAUACGGGAAGGACUGUGACCAGAUCCAUGUGGAUGAUGUCUCAGCAGACGACAAUGGCCAAGACUUAAGCACAUACAACUUCUCCACCGACGGCUUCCACGGCUCGGCCCCGGGUGCUGGCCUGUGCCUGGGCACAGGCGUGCACGGCGGUGUGGACUGGAUGAGGAAGUUGGCCUUCCGCUACCGGCGCGUGAAGGAGAUGUACAACACCUACCGGAACAACGUGGGCGGCUUGAUAGGAGCUCCCAAAAGAGAGACGUGGCUGCAGCUCCGUGCCGAGCUGGAGGCGCUAACAGACCUCUGGCUGACCCACUCCCUGAAGGCCCUAAACCUCAUCAAUUCCCGGCCCAACUGUGUCAACGUGCUGGUCACCACCACUCAGCUCAUCCCUGCCUUAGCCAAAGUCCUGCUGUACGGCCUGGGCUCCGUGUUUCCUAUUGAGAACAUCUACAGCGCCACCAAGACAGGCAAGGAGAGCUGCUUUGAGAGGAUCAUGCAGAGGUUCGGCCGCAAAGCCGUCUACAUCGUGAUCGGCGACGGGGUGGAAGAGGAACAAGGAGCCAAGAAGCACAACAUGCCUUUCUGGCGGAUAUCCUGCCACGCCGACCUGGAGGCGCUGCGGCACGCCCUGGAGCUGGAGUAUUUAUAGCACCCGCCAUCACAUCCACCACCCCUCAUUCCCCGCCUCCCUGCCAAGAGCCCCAGCUGCGGGACACCACCAGGCAGGGUCCCUGCACCCAGAGGACGUGUCCAGUGGCCGUGUCAGAAGCUGUCCUGCACGAGGGUACUGAGCCUCAAAGUCCCCAACACUGGCUUCGGAAUAUUUGACGCUGGGGAAAAAGGGCUGACGUGGAGUCCAGACACUUCUGCAAGACUCGCAGAACAAAGCAAGGACUUGCUAACUGCGGGGAGGGUGGCGAGGAGGAGGAAACAGGUUCUUUCUUUUUUCUUUUUAAUUUAUGGACAAAUCUCAUUACUCCCGUAUUACGCUCUUGUGCCUGUGUCGUUGAUUUUCUUAGUUGUCGGAUUGGUUUGGUUUUUUUGUAACUGGCAUGCGGGGUGGUUCACACUCUUUUCUCCAGGCUGUGCUUUGGGGGACAAUCACUCUUCGGACAUUGGCGAGGGAGGCGAUUGGGAACUGUGGGAAGACUUGCUUUGGUAGUCUCUAGAGCCCCUCCCCAAUGUCAUGGGGACCCCGCACAGUGCCUUAUGCUGCCAUCUUGUUUCUAGGAAGAGGGGAUGCUGGGAAGGAAGCAGUACUUUGUGAUGGAUAAAAGGCAUUAAAUAAAAUCACGUUUACAUUUUGAAGUGGAGGAGACUGUGGCCACUUUAUUUCUUCUCCCAGGCUUGCAGAUAUGGUCUUUUUCAGGACUUUUUCAGUUGCAAAAGAAUAAAAUCCAAUUUAAACUGGCUUCAGAUGAGGGAGGUGAAGGGCAGUGCUGCUGUCUUCAGCUGUGGCUGCAGCCAGGUGAGCAAACGCUUCCUCC
rnacentral:lncRNA from 1 species